GGAGGGAUACCGAAGUGGCCAUAACGGGCUGGUCUCGAAAACCAAGCGUGGCGCAAGUCACACGAGAGUUCGAAUCUCUCUCCCUCCGCCA
rnacentral:tRNA from 1 species